GACGAACCGUGCGAACGUUGUUCGGAUUCACUGGGCUUAAAGGGCGCGUAGGCGGCCGGCCGAGUCGGGGGUGAAAUCGCCUCGCUCAACGGGGCAACUGCCCCCGAUACUGGCCGGCUGGAGGGGGGUAGGGGUGCGCGGAACUUCCGGUGGAGCGGUGAAAUGCGUAGAUAUCGGAAGGAACGCCGGUGGCGAAAGCGGCGCACUGGACCCCGCCUGACGCUGAGGCGCGAAAGCCAGGGGAGCGAACGGGAUUAGAUACCCCGGUAGUCCUGGCCCUAAACGAUGGGGACUAGGUAGUGGGCUUGCAUGGGCUCACUGCCGCAGCCAAAGUCUUAAGUCCCCCGCCUGGGGAGUAUGGUCGCAAGGCUGAA
rnacentral:rRNA from 1 species